GACGUAGGAGGCAAGCGUUAUCCGGAUUUACUGGGCGUAAAGCGCGUGCAGGCGGGCUGGUAAGUUGGAUGUGAAAGCUCCCGGCGCAACUGGGAGAGGUCGUUCAAAACUGCCAGACUAGAGGACGGUAGAGGGAGGUGGAAUUCCGGGUGUAGUGGUGAAAUGCGUAGAUAUCCGGAGGAACACCAGUGGCGAAAGCGGCCUCCUGGACCGUCCCUGACGCUCAGACGCGAAAGCUAGGGGAGCAAACAGG
rnacentral:rRNA from 1 species